CACGUAGGGCGCGAGCGUUGUCCGGAAUUAUUGGGCGUAAAGAGCUCGUAGGCGGCCUGUUGCGUCCGCUGUGAAAGCCCCGGGGCUUAACCCCGGGCUCGGCAGUGGAUACGGGCAGGCUAGAGGUAGGUAGGGGAGAAUGGAAUUCCCGGUAUAGCGGUGAAAUGCGCAGAUAUCGGGAGAACACCGGUGGCGAAGGCGGUUCUCUGGGCCUUACCUGACGCUGAGGAGCGAAAGCGUGGGGAGCGAACGG
rnacentral:rRNA from 1 species